rnacentral:rRNA from 1 species
UGCAAGUCGAGCGCCGUAGCAAUACGGAGCGGCAGACGGGAGAGUAACACGUGGGAACGUGCCCUUUGGUUCGGAACAACCCAGGGAAACUUGGGCUAAUACCGGAUAAGCCCUUACGGGGAAAGAUUUAUCGCCGAAGGAUCGGCCCGCGUCUGAUUAGCUAGUUGGUGGGGUAAUGGCCCACCAAGGCGACGAUCAGUAGCUGGUCUGAGAGGAUGAUCAGCCUCACUGGGACUGAGACACGGCCCAGACUCCUACGGGAGGCAGCAGUGGGGAAUAUUGGACAAUGGGCGCAAGCCUGAUCCAGCCAUGCCGCGUGGGUGAUGAAGGCCCUAGGGUUGUAAAGCCCUUUCGGCGGGGAAGAUAAUGACGGUACCCGCAGAAGAAGCCCCGGCUAACUUCGUGCCAGCAGCCGCGGUAAUACGAAGGGGGCUAGCGUUGCUCGGAAUCACUGGGCGU